GACGAACGCUGGCGGCGUGCCUAAUACAUGCAAGUCGAGCGCAGGAAAUCGACGGAACCCUUCGGGGGGAAGUCGACGGAAUGAGCGGCGGACGGGUGAGUAACACGUAAAGAACCUACCCUCAGGUCUGGGAUAACCACGAGAAAUCGGGGCUAAUACCGGAUGGGUCAUCGGACCGCAUGGUCCGAGGAUGAAAGGCGCUCCGGCGUCGCCUGGGGAUGGCUUUGCGGUGCAUUAGCUAGUUGGUGGGGUAAUGGCCCACCAAGGCGACGAUGCAUAGCCGACCUGAGAGGGUGAUCGGCCACACUGGGACUGAGACACGGCCCAGACUCCUACGGGAGGCAGCAGUAGGGAAUCUUCCACAAUGGACGAAAGUCAGAUGGAGCAACGCCGCGUGAACGAUGAAGGCCUUCGGGUCGUAAAGUUCUGUUGUAAGGGAAGAACAAGUGCCGCAGGCAAUGGCGGCACCUUGACGGUACCUUGCGAGAAAGCCACGGCUAACUACGUGCCAGCCGCCGCCGUAA
rnacentral:rRNA from 1 species